UGGGGUACAUGAGGGCAGAAUGGCACCCGGCUCUUCCCAUUCAUUGAACAAACUUACAUAACGCUUCCAAAGUGUUUCUAAGCAAUUCUUUAAUAUUCAUUUAACACCAUGACUUAAGGACUAUUUUUUCCUUGCUUUUCAGAAAAGAAAGUUGGGGCAUUUAUGGGUUGAGCCACUGAGCAAGUCACUUAACUACUCUG